rnacentral:tRNA from 1 species
GUGGCUGUAGCUCAGCGGUAGAGCUCCCGGUUGUGGUCCGGGCGGUCGCAGGUUCAAAUCCUGUCAGCCACCCA